rnacentral:rRNA from 1 species
GACGAACGCUGGCGGCGUGCCUAAUACAUGCAAGUUGAGCGCUGAAGGUUGGUACUUGUACCAACUGGAUGAGCAGCGAACGGGUGAGUAACGCGUGGGGAAUCUGCCUUUGAGCGGGGGACAACAUUUGGAAACGAAUGCUAAUACCGCAUAAAAACUUUAAACACAAGUUUUAAGUUUGAAAGAUGCAAUUGCAUCACUCAAGGAUGAUCCCGCGUUGUAUUAGCUAGUUGGUGAGGUAAAGGCUCACCAAGGCGAUGAUACAUAGCCGACCUGAGAGGGUGAUCGGCCACAUUGGGACUGAGACACGGCCCAAACUCCUACGGGAGGCAGCAGUAGGGAAUCUUCGGCAAUGGACGAAAGUCUGACCGAGCAACGCCGCGUGGGUGAAGAAGGUUUUCGGAUCGUAAAACUCUGUUGGUAGAGAAGAACGUUGGUGAGAGUGGAAAGCUCAUCAAGUGACGGUAACUACCCAGAAAGGGACGGCUAACUACGUG